AAUGGGUGAGGACGGACCUACGUCACUUCCGCCUACAAAUCCCCAACUGGGAAUUCGUUGAAAACAAACCAGCUCACAGCGAACACAGCAUUGACAGAAAAAGCAUUUAACGAGCGUUGUGGCUUGGAAGUCGGCGUUAAAUCCUUCAUUUACGCAUUUUUACUUCUUCGCAUAUCGUGUGAAAAAACGAAAAUGUAUUAUUUGCGUCAGACUCGUCUCAGUGAACUUUAAAGCUUCUCAGGCUUAGCUUAGCUUGCUAGUUAGCUUAGCCUGCGCGCUACUAAGAAAGAGACGCGGAAGUUAUCAACAACAAGAUCAAGUGUUAGUGUAUAAAAUAUUGAGAGAUUUGAGGGCUACAUGUAUUGUUUAAGUACAACAAAGGAGAGUUUAAACAGAGAAGGGGGAGGUGGCAAAAUAACCUAAUAAGGAAAGUAAUACCAAGAUUACGGGUAAAUAAUACUGGAAUGUCCGGCAAAAAACCCCAAAAGAAAGCAGACUGGCCCCUAGUAGCCUGGUCCUUGUAAGUUGUAGCCUUAUGAAGGUGCAGUACAGCAGGCGAAUAAUGUACAAAAUAUAUGCCUUUGUAUUGAAAAGUCUUGCAGACAGCAUUUUGUGACUGUCCUGAAAAGUUGAUUAAAUGGCAACAUGAAAAUUAUAGGGUUUAUUGGUUUUUAAAAACCCAACUGUUAAGUGCAAAUUUAAACGAAACUGGUUUUGCCAUUUGUCUCGUCUCUGUGGGCUUUUAUCACGCUUUGGCAGAACAAAAUACAACCUUUGUUUUCCCUGUUUCCAGUUGUGGUUAGCACAACCAAAAACAACACAGUUUUUCGGCAUUUUGGAGGCAGAAUGACGGGUUUAACCAGCGUAGGUCGACAGGUUAAAGAGUAAUGGCAACGGUUUGUUUUCAACGCCAGUCUGGUUGCUAUGGCUCGAAGAACCCGUAUGUAGCUCAGUUGCCCGGAUGUCGGCCCUCACCCAUUAGCUGUGCUUUUAAGCCGGUAGCAGGAAGUGGCCUGUAGACAGAACUUGAGGGAAACAGACUGUAUUUCUGCUCGAGAGCUGACUACCAGCGCCGGAGUUUUUUCUCAUUAAGUUGUGUGUGACUGUAGAAGAGUUGGCCAGGAUUCUCUUUUUGAUGGCGACCUAAGGAAAAGAAGCAUCUAGUCCAAGGAUCGUUCUUGGAAGAUUCCAGCCAGGAACCCCACCACCUGUUCUGUCUGGGCGGCCCGCUAACAGCCAAGGACUUCAACGACCUCAACGAAGAUAAGAUGACAGCACGCAGACGAAGCAGAGACUUCAAGGACCUCAACGAAGAUAAGAUGACAACACGCAGACAAAGCGGGGACAAGGCGAAAUCACAAGGCCCCCAGCACAUUCUGUCACGUACUGUGCGUCCUGGACCUGCUUUGCAUAAUAUAUGUCACCACUCCUUUUAGAGGCGGCCUCAGUGAUGUUGACUAUGGAACUCUGAAUAAAAAGAGGGACGCGGGAGCUGAACCUUAGAGCGUAGGGCGAGGCUGUGACUAAGUGUGCAGCUCCAUGCGUUCUCCUCAUGAGCUAAAUUGAACUCUGUCUCUGCAUGAUUCCUUGCUUCUUGUCUGAUUAAUA